AAAGUCGUAACAAGGUUUCCGUAGGUGAACCUGCGGAAGGAUCAUUAUUGAAACUUCAUCCGGGGCGCCGCGGCCCUCAGCACCGGUGGAAACGCCGUGUUGCGGGGGCCGCGUGUGCACUCGUCCAAGCCAAACCCCUGUGAACCUUACGGGAUGGCCUGGGUUAGCGCCCGGUGCCGUUCCGCUUUAUACAAACACUUAUAAAAGAAUGAACUGAAGGCGGUCUGACCGCUGGAUAACAAACUGAAACAACUUUCAACAACGGAUCUCUUGGCUCUC
rnacentral:misc_RNA from 1 species